UGCCAGCCGCCGCGGUAAUACGGAGGGUGCAAACGUUGCUCGGAAUCAUUGGGCGUAGAGCGCGUGUAGGCGGUAUCAUAAGUCGAUUGUGAAAGUCCGGAGCUUAACUCCGGAAGUGCGGUCGAAACUGUGGAACUUGAGUAUUGGAGAGGUAAGCGGAAUUCUCGGUGUAGAGGUGAAAUUCGUAGAUAUCGAGAGGAACACCAGUGGCGAAGGCGGCUUACUGGACAAAUACUGACGCUGAGACGCGAAAGUGUGGGUAGCAAACAGGAUUAGAUA
rnacentral:rRNA from 1 species